rnacentral:rRNA from 1 species
GCAUAUCCAUAGCGAAGAAAAGAAAAAUAACAAGAUUUCCCCAGUAACGGCGAGUGAAGAGGAAAGAAGCUCAAAGUUGGAACCUGUUUGGCUUAGCUAAACCGGAUUGUAAACUGUAGAAACGUUUUCCUGGCACGCCAGAUAAAUAAGUCCUUUGGAACAGGGCAUCAUAGAGGGUGAGAAUCCCGUCUUUGGUCUGAGCUGUUGUCUAUUGCGAUACGUUUUCAAAGAGUCAGGUUGUUUGGGAAUGCAGCCUAAAUUGGGUGGUAAAUCUCACCUAAAGCUAAAUAUUUGCGAGAGACCGAUAGCGAACAAGUACCGUGAGGGAAAGAUGAAAAGAACUUUGAAAAGAGAGUUAAACAGUAUGUGAAAUUGUUAAAAGGGAACCGUUUGGAGCCAGACUGGCUUGAUCGUAAUCAAUCUAGGUUUCGACCUGGAUGCACUUGCGGUCUAUGCCUGCCAACGACAGUUCUUUCUGAAGGAUAAAACUAGGAGGAAUGUGGCCCCUCGGGGUGUUAUAGCCUUCUAGAUAAUACUUUGGAUGGGACUGAGGAACGCAGUGAAUGCUAUUAUGGCGAGAUUUCUAUUCGCUUUUUUCCGAGAAUGAGUGAAUUUCUGCUUCGGGUGGUGCAUUCGUUCUUUGGAGAAAACUCGUGUAGUUAUUUUUCUAUUCACUUAGGUUGUUGGCUUAAUGACUCUAAAUGACCCGUCUUGAAACACGGACCAAGGAGUCCACCAUUAGUGCGAGUAUUUGGGUGCCAAACCCAUAUGCGUAAGGAAACUGAUUGAUACGAACCCGCAAGGAGGCAGUAUCACCCGGCAAUGACGUUUUAUACUGAACUGACCGAGGUUAAGCACUAAUGAUGGGACCCGAAAGAUGGUGAACUAUGCCUGAAUAGGGUGAAGCCGGAGGAAACUCCGGUGGAGGCUCGUAGCGAUUCUGACGUGCAAAUCGAUCGUCAAAUUUGGGUAUAGGGGCGAAAAGACUAAAUCGAACCAUCUAGUAGCUGGGUUCCUGCGA